GACGAACGCUGGCGGCGUGCUUAACACAUGCAAGUCGAACGAUGAAGCCUAGCUUGCUAGGUGGAUUAGUGGCGAACGGGUGAGUAAUACGUGAGUAACCUACCUUAAACUCUGGGAUAAGCCCGGGAAACUGGGUCUAAUACCGGAUACGACCAAUCUCCGCAUGGGGUGUUGGUGGAAAGCGUUAUGUAGUGGUUAUAGAUGGGCUCACGGCCUAUCAGCUUGUUGGUGAGGUAACGGCUCACCAAGGCGACGACGGGUAGCCGGCCUGAGAGGGUGACCGGCCACACUGGGACUGAGACACGGCCCAGACUCCUACGGGAGGCAGCAGUGGGGAAUAUUGCACAAUGGGCGCAAGCCUGAUGCAGCGACGCCGCGUGAGGGAUGACGGCCUUCGGGUUGUAAACCUCUGUUAGCAAGGAAGAAGAGAGAUUGACGGUACCUGCAGAGAAAGCGCCGGCUAACUACGUG
rnacentral:rRNA from 1 species